GUUGUAUAGUUAAGUGACUAAGCGUACAAGGUGGAUGCCUUGGCAAUCAGAGGCGAAGAAGGACGUGCUAAUCUGCGAAAAGCUUGGAUGAGUCGAUAAGAGGCGUUUAAUCCAAGAUAUCCGAAUGGGGAAACCCAGUAGAUGAAGAAUCUACUAUCAACAAGUGAAUACAUAGCUUGUUGAGGCAAACCGGGAGAACUGAAACAUCUAAGUACCCCGAGGAAAAGAAAUCAACCGAGAUUUCGUCAGUAGCGGCGAGCGAAAGCGAAAGAGCCAGUAAGUGAUAGCAGUAUAGUUAGGAGAAUGUGUUGGGAAGCACAAUCAAAGAGGGUGAUAAUCCCGUAUCUAAAAACCAUAUUGUGGUACUAAGCUAACGAGAAGUAGGGCGGGACACGUGAUAUCCUGUUUGAAGAAGGGGGGACCAUCCUCCAAGGCUAAAUACUCCUGAUUGACCGAUAGUGAACCAGUACUGUGAAGGAAAGGCGAAAAGAACCCCGGUGAGGGGAGUGAAAUAGAACCUGAAACCUUGUACGUACAAGCAGUGGG
rnacentral:rRNA from 1 species